AUAUUGGACAAUGGGGGAAACCCUGAUCCAGCGACGCCGCGUGAGUGAAGAAGUAUUUCGGUAUGUAAAGCUCUGUCAGCAGGGAAGAAAGAAAUGACGGUACCUGACCAAGAAGCCCCGGCUAACUACGUGCCAGCAGCCGCGGUAAUACGUAGGGGGCAAGCGAUAUCCGGAUUUACUGGGUGUAAAGGGAGCGUAGACGGCUAAGCAAGUCUGAAGUGAAAGCCCGGGGCUUAACCCCGGGACUGCUUUGGAAACUGUUAAGCUAGAGUGCUGGAGAGGUAAGUGGAAUUCCUAGUGUAGCGGUGAAAUGCGUAGAUAUUAGGAGGAACACCAGUGGCGAAGGCGGCUUACUGGACAGUAACUGACGUUGAGGCUCGAAAGCGUGGGGAGCAAACAGG
rnacentral:rRNA from 1 species